CGCACAUUGCGCCCCCUGGCAUUCCGGGGGGCAUGCCCGUUCGAGCGUCGCAUAACACCACUCGAGCCCGGCUCGGCAUUGGGCCUUUGACGGACGUCGGGCCCCAAACGCGUCGGCGAUCCCUUCGCAAAUGGGGGGCACGGUGCCGCAGAUGUCGAGAUGCUGCGGUGCCAAGUCCGUGAACCCCGCGAGUUCGACCUCGGAUCGGGUAGGGAUACCCGCUGAACUUAA
rnacentral:misc_RNA from 1 species